ensembl:lncRNA
GAGAAGCCUACACUAGAGAAGGGAUGGGGUAGGGGUGAGAGAAGCCUACACCCUACACUAGAGAAGGGGUGGAGUAGGGGUGAGAGAAGCCUACACCCUACACUAGAGAAGGGAUGGGGUAGGGGUGAGAGAAGCCUACACCCUACACUAGAGAAGGGAUGGGGUAGGGGUGAGAGAAGCCUACACCCUACACUAGAGAAGGGAUGGGGUAGGGGUGAGAGAAGCCUACACCCUACACUAGAGAAGGGAUGGGGUAGGGGUGAGAGAAGCCUACACCCUACACUAGAGAAGGGAUGGGGUAGGGGUGAGAGAAGCCUACACCCUACACUAGAGAAGGGAUGGGGUAGGGGUGAGAGAAGCCUACACCCUACACUAGAGAAGGGAUGGGGUAGGGGUGAGAGAAGCCUACACCCUACACUAGAGAAGGGAUGGGGUAGGGGUGAGAGAAGCCUACACCCUACACUAGAGAAGGGAUGGGGUAGGGGUGAGAGAAGCCUACACCCUACACUAGAGAAGGGAUGGGGUAGGGGUGAGAGAAGCCUACACCCUACACUAGAGAAGGGAUGGGGUAGGGAGAAGAGAAGCCUACACCCUACACUAGAGAAGGGAUGGGGUAGGGGUGAGAGAAGCCUACACCCUACACUAGAGAAGGGAUGGGGUAGGGGUGAGAGAAGCCUACACCCUACACUAGAGAAGGGAUGGGGUAGGGGUGAGAGAAGCCUACACCCUACACUAGAGAAGGGGUGGAGUAGGGGUGAGAGAAGCCUACACCCUACACUAGAGAAGGGAUGGGGUAGGGGUGAGAGAAGCCUACACCCUACACUAGAGAAGGGAUGGGGUAGGGGUGAGAGAAGCCUACACCCUACACUAGAGAAGGGAUGGGGUAGGGGUGAGAGAAGCCUACACCCUACACUAGAGAAGGGAUGGGGUAGGGGUGAGAGAAGCCUACACCCUACACUAGAGAAGGGAUGGGGUAGGGGUGAGAGAAGCCUACACCCUACACUAGAGAAGGGAUGGGGUAGGGGUGAGAGAAGCCUACACCCUACACUAGAGAAGGGAUGGGGUAGGGGUGAGAGAAGCCUACACCCUACACUAGAGAAGGGAUGGGGUAGGGGUGAGAGAAGCCUACACCCUACACUAGAGAAGGGAUGGGGUAGGGGUGAGAGAAGCCUACACCCUACACUAGAGAAGGGAUGGGGUAGGGGUGAGAGAAGCCUACACCCUACACUAGAGAAGGGAUGGGGUAGGGGUGAGAGAAGCCUACACCCUACACUAGAGAAGGGAUGGGGUAGGGGUGAGAGAAGCCUACACCCUACACUAGAGAAGGGAUGGGGUAGGGGUGAGAGAAGCCUACACCCUACACUAGAGAAGGGAUGGGGUAGGGGUGAGAGAAGCCUACACCCUACACUAGAGAAGGGAUGGGGUAGGGGUGAGAGAAGCCUACACCCUACACUAGAGAAGGGAUGGGGUAGGGGUGAGAGAAGCCUACACCCUACACUAGAGAAGGGAUGGGGUAGGGGUGAGAGAAGCCUACACCCUACACUAGAGAAGGGAUGGGGUAGGGGUGAGAGAAGCCUACACCCUACACUAGAGAAGGGAUGGGGUAGGGGUGAGAGAAGCCUACACCCUACACUAGAGAAGGGAUGGGGUAGGGGUGAGAGAAGCCUACACUAG